rnacentral:miRNA from 2 species
UAGGUUAUCUGACUUAUCUCACAU